rnacentral:tRNA from 1 species
GCCCUGGUGGCGGAAUGGUAGACGCGGUAGACUCAAAAUCUGCUGUCAGCAAUGGCGUGGGGGUUCAAGUCCCCCCCGGGGUA